UACGAAGGGGGCUAGCGUUGUUCGGAAUUAUUGGGCGUAAAGGGCGCGUAGGCGGCCAUUUAAGUCUGGUGUGAAAGUGCGGGGCUUAACCCCGUAAAGCAUUGGAAACUGGAUGGCUUGAGGACAGGAGAGGAAAGUGGAAUUCCUAGUGUAGCGGUGAAAUGCGUAGAUAUUAGGAGGAACACCAGUGGCGAAGGCGACUUUCUGGACUGUAACUGACGCUGAGGCGCGAAAGCGUGGGGAUCAAACAGG
rnacentral:rRNA from 1 species